UGUUAAUCGUUAUCGGCUUGCUUCGGCAGUCGGGUUUGGAUACUGUGGUAAUUCUAGAGCUAAUACAUGCAAUCGAGCUCAGACCCGGCGACGGGGACGAGCGCUCUUAUUAGACCAAGGCCAAUCUGGUCGCUCGCAAGGGUGGCCAGUUGCUGGUGGUGACUCUGGAUAAACUCAGUUGAUCGCAAUACGGCCUACGGGCCAGCGACGUAUCUUUCAAGCGUAUGCCCUAUCAUGUAGUCGGUAAGGUAGCGGCUUACCGAGCAGACAACGGGUAGCGGGGAAUCAGGGUUCGAUUCCGGAGAGGGGGCAUGAGAAAUGGCCACCACAUCCAAGGAAGGCAGCAGGCGCGCAAAUUACCCAAUCCCGACACGGGGAGGUAGUGACGAAAAAUAACAAUACGGGACUCUUUCGAGGCCCCGUAAUUGGAAUGAGCACAAUUUAAAUCCUUUAGCGAGGAUCUAUUGGAGGGCAAGUCUGGUGCCAGCAGCCGCGGUAAUUCCAGCUCCAAUAGCGUAUAUUAAAGUUGCUGCAGUUAAAAAGCUCGUAGUUGGAUCUCGGGUGCUCACAUGAGCGGGCUGGUCGUGUUCACGCACGUACUGCCCGCUCGGCCCAAUAUGCCGAUGCCCUGCCCUGGCUGUGCGCGCGCAAGCGUUGUGCGGCUGGGAGGGACGCUGCGUUGCUUGUGCCUUUAAUCGGGUGCCUGUGGCGGUCGGUGCGUUUACCUUGAACAAAUUGGAGUGCUCAAGGCAGGUUACGUUAUGCUCGCACAGUUGUGCAUGGAAUAAUGGAAUAGGACUCGCUGUCCAUUUCGUUGGUCUUUGGCUUGUGAGUAAUGAUUAAGAGGGAUUGCCGGGGGCGUCGGUAUGGCGGGGUUAGAGGUGAAAUUCUUGGAUCCUCGCCAGACCAACAAUAGCGAAAGCAUUCGCCAAGAAUGUCUUCAUUAAUCAAGAACGAAAGUCAGAGGUUCGAAGACGAUCAGAUACCGUCGUAGUUCUGACCAUAAACGAUGCCAGCUAGUGGCCGAUAGCAGUUGUAUCCCAUGACUCUGUCGGCCGUCCCCGCGAAAGCGUAAGUUUUCGGGUUCCGGGGGAAGUAUGAGCGCAAGCUUGAAACUUAAAGUAAUUGACGGAAGGGCACCACCAAGCGUGGGUUUUGCGGUUUAAUUUGACUCAACACGGGAAAACUUACCUGGCCAGAACGUGCUAAGGAUUGACAGAUUGAAAGCUCUUUCUCGAUUAUACGAGUGGUGGUGCAUGGCCGUUCUUAGUUGGUGGAGUGAUUUGUCUGCUUAAUUGCGAUAACGAACGAGACUCUGGCUUACUAAAUAGUUAAGCAGGCGGCAUUWCUGCCAACUGAACGGUAUAACUUCUUAGAAGGACUAGGCACGUAACGAGUGCCACGAGAUUGAGCAAUAACAGGUCUGUGAUGCCCUUAGAUGUUCAGGGCCACACGCGUAACACAAUGAUUGGGCGAACGUGUUUCAGCCUCCUGACCCUGACGGGCGGGGCAACCAUGUUCAGGCCCUUUGCUUGGUUUGGGCUCGGCACUUGUAACUAUUUGCCGUGAACCAGGAAUGCUUAGUAGGCGCAAUUCACCAAAUUGUGCCGACUACGUCCCUGCCCUUUGUACACACCGCCCGUCGCUACUACCGAUUGGAUGGCUUAGUGAAACUAUCGAGCGG
rnacentral:rRNA from 1 species